UUAACUUGCAAAGUAUUUUUGCUAUAUUGCAAAGUAUUUUUGCUAUAAAGUUCUUCUUUAUUCUAAGUUCAGGACCAUCCAUUUCCUUUUCUAUAAAAUACAGAAGAUCAAAGCUAAAGAUUUGGGAAGGCAAAUGCUGGCCUCGGUCCCAAUUGAACUUUGAACUUCUUUAGCUUCUCCAUAGUUUUAAACGGCAGGCUUGAUAAAUGAGCAUGAAACAAGGAGAUUUUAACAGGCAAGACGUCCAGAUGCUACAUCUAUGCAGCCAUGAUGACAUCUAUUCUUGCCUGGCAAACCAUAUUCAGGACACGAUACAUUUUAGGGCUCUGGAUGAUGACAAAGCUAAUUCUCCUUCAGAGCAGGGAAAGCAAAGCUUGUCCCAUAGAGUCUGGCACAUCAGGCCUACAGCAAAUGAUUGAUGUCACAAAGGGAGGAUUAUGGUCUCCUGGUUUCAAAAGCAAGAGGAGGGCACUGAGCAAAGGGGCGCAUAACAUUCGCCUGCAGUCUUGCUGUAAUAUGGACAGUGUGGUAAAACCCGGGGGAAGAAAUUCUUAAUAAUGCAGUAAGCUAUCCUUGGCAAAUGCAUUAUAAUGCUUUUCUCUUCUCUUGAAGAAGCAAUUUAAUUAAAAGUACCACAGAUACACUUCAACUUCAUAUCCUAGAGAAGGGUUCGUUCCAAACUUUUCAAAAGGAUCUCCCUCCAUAAACCAUAGGGGAUGCUCAAUUGUUAAAUACAAAUGCAGAUUCAAGCUGGAAUGAAGACCCAAGCCAGAGAAUUUGAUCUAUGAAAGGGAAAAGAAGGAGAAGGGACUCACAUUUCUCAUUCUCAUGCUAGGUAUGUAAUAUUUUAUCUCCUCUUCUCUGCUAGAAUAAAGCUAUUUAAUGCCCAGAGAUGUUUGCCUGGAGUUAGGCAAGACUAGAUUUAGAAUGCCAGUUUCCUUCACUGAAUGUUGCUUGGUUAAAACUGUCCUUCCAUCUGUUACCCUGUGUUUUUGGUUUAUUCACAUUUCUUUUGUAGAGGAGGGCUGCUGCAUGGGCUGUAUUUACUCUGUGCUCUGUAGGACUUCUGUGUAUUGUAUUAGAAGGCAGCAUUGUGAUAAUGGAAGUUAAGUUCUGAUCUCUGCUGGAUAGAGUGUGUUUUACUGUACCUUCAGUGCUGAGGGCCCUGCCAAUUGCUAGCAAUCACUUAGUGCUCACUGCCACUAUAGUACUUUUAAAAUCUUUUUCUUUGUUUCUUCUCCUGGUUACACUUAGUUCUCAAGAAGAAACUAUUGCUCCACUGAUUCAU